UUACAGCCAUAUCAGGUUGAAAGACCAGUUCCUCUGUGAUCACUGAAGUUAAGCAGCAUUGAGCCUAAUCAGUACCUGAUGGGUGACCAGUUGGGAAUACCAAGUACUGAA